rnacentral:misc_RNA from 1 species
GGGUGACCAGCCUAGCUACAGCGCCCCAGCCUUCUCGCAAAGACCACAGGUAAUCGGCAGGCCCUCCAGAAAGGAUAAGAAGGACCCGUUCUCUGGGGUUAUCAACCAGAGUUAUGAUGAGAUUAAAAAGAGAUGUCAAGAGGAGGGAUGCUUAUUUGAGGACCCUGAGUUCGACGCUGAAGAUUCCUCCAUCUUCUUUAGCAGGGCACCCCCUCGUCCAUUUGAAUGGAAAAGACCACAUGAGAUUUGUGACAACCCUGUGUUUAUUGCGGAUGGAGCCAGUCGAUUUGACGUGCAGCAAGGAGAGCUGGGUGACUGCUGGCUCCUGGCUGCCAUUGCCUCUCUUACUGUGAAUCAGCGACUGUUUGCGAAGGUGGUUCCUCCGGACCAGAGUUUUGAGGAUGGCUACUGUGGGAUGUUCCGCUUCCAUUUUUGGCGGCAGGGCGAGUGGGUGGAGGUGGUGGUGGACGACCGUCUGCCCACCUACUACGGCCAGCUGACCUUCAUGCACUCUGUAGACAAGAAUGAAUUCUGGAGUGCAUUGCUGGAGAAAGCUUAUGCCAAAUUGGAAGGCUCGUAUGAGUCUCUGAAGGGUGGCAGCACCUGUGAAGCCAUGGUGGACUUUACAGGGGGUGUGUCCGAGUUCUUUGACCUGCGUAAAGCCCCGCCCAAUCUGUUCAGCAUUAUGUUGAAGGCCAGUCAAAGAGGCUCCCUGAUGGGCUGCUCCAUUGAUGCUGACCCCAACCAACUUGAAGCUCGGUUAGCUAAUGGCCUAGUGAUGGGCCAUGCCUACAGUAUCACCUCUGUCAUAUUGAUGGACAUUGAGACCCCCACCAUGUCGGGAAAGAUCCCAAUGGUCAGGAUCAGGAACCCCUGGGGUAAUGAGGCUGAGUGGAAGGGCAGAUGGAGCGACCAGUCGAGAGAGUGGUCCCUGAUCCCAGACUCUCAGAAGGACUCCAUUGGUCUGACCUUUGAUGACGAUGGAGAAUUCUGGAUGUCUUUUGAUGACUUCUCCAAAAAUUUUGAGAAGUUGGAGAUCUGUAAUUUGGGACCUGACUCCCUGGAGGAGGAUGAGCUGGACGGGAAGAAGAGAUGGGAGGGGCACACAGAGAAUGGGGAGUGGAUCCCCAGGGUCAAUGCUGGGGGCUGCAGAAACUACCUUGACACCUUUUGGACAAACCCCCAGUAUCGUGUGACCUUGACCGACCCUGAUGAUGAUGAUGACGAUGACCUCUGUACCAUUUUGGUGGGCGUUUUACAGAAAGACAGAAGAAAGAAGCGCAAGGAAGGACUAGACAUGUUGACCAUUGGAUAUGUCAUUUACAAGCUGGAGGAUGAGGUCCAUGGUCCGUUAGAUGUUAAAUACUUCAAAUAUCAUGCCUCGUGUGCUAAGGCUCCCUCCUUUAUUAAUCUGCGAGAGGUGUGUGGACGACACAAGCUCUCCCCAGGAACCUACGUAAUUAUUCCCUCCACUUUUGAACCUCACCAGAAAGGAGAGUACCUGGUUAGAAUCUUCACAGAGAAAGCCAACGAGACAAAUGAAAUGGAUGAAGAAACUGGAAUUAUUGAAGAUCAGGAUGUCCCCAAAAUUCCUGGUGCCAGAGAAAUUCCGCCGCCUACAGAGGAGGAACAGGAACAAGAGCAGGCCCUCAAGGCGAGCUUCCGCCAGCGUGGCGGGGGAGGACAUGGAAAUAGAUGCCUACGAACUCAGAGACAUCCUGAACGCUGUGUUUACAAGAGAAUUCGCCUUUGAUGGUUUCUCCAUAGAUGUUUGCAGGAGCAUGGUGGCCAUGCAUGAUGGUGACCUGUCAGGAAAGUUAGGAUUCGAUGAAUUCAAAGUUCCUUUGGGCUGAUUUAAGAAGAUGGAAGGGAGUAUUCAAGGAGUAUGACAGAGACAAGAGUGGUAAUCUGAGUUCCUACGAGCUGAGAUCAGCUCUCCACGCUAGCGGUUUCCGCUUGAGUAACAGGACAUUCAGUGCUCUGGUCAUGAGGUACAGUAGCAAGGAUGGAAACGUGGAGUUCGGAGACUUCAUCCUGUGUGCCAUCAGAAUGAAGACCAUGCUGGCCUCUUUCAAGAACAUUGAUGUGGAAAAUUCUGGGCAUGCUGCAUUUGAUCUGGACAGUUUUGUCCAGACAGUAAUGUACUCGUAAACCGUUGGGAGUUUUCCUUCUCUGUGUGCUUCUGCUGCUGAAAUUGGAAGCUUCCAAACUUUUUGCUGAUGAACAAAAAUCCUUGCGGAUAUUAUUUGAAAUCUAAGCAAAUACAAUAACAAUUCAUUUCUGUUGAGUUGUUCCCCGUUAAUUUUUGUUGGUUAUAUUAUAGGGUUAAUGCUUCUUGCAGUUUUCUAUACAUGUAGUGUUUCUGUUAGCUAAGCAUGAACUACUGGUGGAAUAUUAAAUUAUCAUGUUUGUUUAGACUUUAGCAGCAGAACAGUGCAAUAACUGUUGAUACCUCAAGAUUUUAAGAUGUUACUUGUAUUUUGAAUCUCCUUUCUGUACAGCCUUAGAUCUUAAUAUAAACGCUUACUACAUAUCCCUUAUUCUUCCUUUUAUGUCAUUUAUAUUUUGUACACGUAUGUCUCGUAGAUUGCUUUCUUUUGGAGGUCAAGGGUUAUUUUCCUCUGUUAAUUUUUACACCAAUGUGUAUUUUUACCAUCUUUUUUUAUUAAAUAUUACACCUUUAAUUCAGGUUAUUUAAAAAAAAAUUUCAACCGUUUAACAUAUAUUGUUAUAUUGAAAGUUUUAUUCCUUUGAGUCACCAAAAGUUUUGUACAGCACAAUUGUGUAUAUGAUUCCCUUUAUGGGUGCCUCGACUGUAUUGGAUUUAUUUUGUAUCUUCUAAUAUUAUGAUAUUUUUCAUGGUGCUGAAGCCAAUUUUGCCUAAUUUUUGGAUACAUCUUUACUGAAUACUCUAAGAAUUGAGAAUGUUCCACUUUUCUUGUCACGGUUCAAAUGCAUUUUUUCUCAAUUUUGUUUUACUCCUUAUUAAUGACACUGUUCUUAUUUAACGUAUAUACACCCACUAUUUGAUUGGAACUGACUUUGUAGAUAUUAGAUGUUGUCAUAACUUCUUGUUUUAUAUUUACAUAUAUUUACAAUGUUGUCAUAGAACUGGCAGACAUUUGGUUUUGGGGCUAGUUAUUGUUGGUAAUGUUAUGUUACAACAAAUUUGUCCUUCCACAUCUGUUGCAGAACCCUAAGAUACGGAAUAAAACCAUUUGUCUG